CAGGUGACGAGCAGAACACCUCUGCAUCCAGUUGGAGAACGUUGUAGAAUGAGUUGAUAUGAAUGGGAAGAGCUAGAAAGAUCGUGAAGACUCGGGUUCCCACCAUAUUUACGUCUGUGAUGGUGGAGACGCUGUGUGAACAAUGGAAGCACUGGACCAAAGGAAACAAAGCAUCCAGAACCAAUUAUUACUAAUUUGAGUUGAGUAAAAUAUCAUUCUAACAAUAACAAAAGAACAACCCAAUUUAAAAAAUGGACAAAAGGCUUAAAGACAAUUCUCCAAAGAAUCUAUACAAAUGAAGACUGAACCGAUGAAAAUGUGUUCCACCUCACUAAUAAUGAGGCAGCAAAGACCGAUUCGCACCAAUUUGAACAGGUUUCAUUUAAGAGAAGGAGAAGAGAAGGAAGACGAGAAAGGACAAAGCAGGUAUAAGGGAAUAGAGAACUGAGAACUGGAUCCCUUGUGUGUUGCUGAUGAGACUGUAAGACAAUGCAGCUGCUGUAGGGAGCAGUUUGGCAGGUCUUCAAAGCCUUAAACAUAGAACUGCUAUAAGAUCCCUCCGUUUCACCUCUGGCUGUAUACUUAAGGGAACCAAAAGCCCAGACUCCAACAGUUAACCCAGCCUCACUGUCAAAUGAUGUUGACAUCUGAGUGCCCAUCAGUCGCUGUAGACAAGCACAGCAUGGUAAGGCCGUUGUACACAGCAAUACCAAUGGACUUUAAAGACAUCACGUGAAGAGAAAUAAGCCCGUUGCAAAUCGUGGACAAAUGACGUGUAGUUUGUAGAAGCUGUCUUGAAGAGUCAGAUUCCUAGAAAAUAGAAUGGUGGCCGCCAAGAGCUGGAGGCAGGGGAGAGUGUUGCGUUUGUAUUCAUUUUGUGUGAGUGCAUGUGUGUAUUUGGGUGCAAAUAAAAGCCAAGGGAAAAA
rnacentral:lncRNA from 1 species